rnacentral:rRNA from 1 species
UGGGGAAUCUUGCACAAUGGAGGAAACUCUGAUGCAGCGACGCCGCGUGAGCGGAGAAGCCUUUCGGGGUGUAAAGCUCUUACGCCAGGGACGAUAAUGACGGUACCUGGAGAAGCAGCUGCGGCUAACUACGUGCCAGCAGCCGCGGUAAUACGUAGGCAGCAAGCGUUGUUCGGAAUUACUGGGCGUAAAGGGUGCGUAGGCGGCGCUCUAAGUUUGGUGUGAAAUCUCCCGGCUUAACUGGGAGGGUGCACUGAAAACUGGGGCGCUCGAGUAUGGGAGAGGAAAGCGGAAUUCCUGGUGUAGCGGUGAAAUGCGUAGAGAUCAGGAGGAACACCUGCGGUGCAGACGGCUUUCUAGACCAUCACUGACGCUGAGGCACGAAAGCGUGGGUAGCAAACA